UCCUACGGGGGGCAGCAGUGGGGGAUAUUGCACAAUGGGGGAAACCCUGAUGCAGCGACGCCGCGUGGGUGAAGGAGCACCUCGGUGCGUAAAGCCCUAUCGGCAGGGAAGAAAAGCGAACAGGUUCGCCUGGACGGUACCUGACUAAGAAGCCCCGGCUAACUACGUGCCAGCAGCCGCGGUAAUACGUAGGGGGCAAGCGUUAUCCGGAUUCACUGGGUGUAAAGGGAGCGUAGACGGC
rnacentral:rRNA from 1 species